GACGAACGCUGGCGGCGUGCUUAACACAUGCAAGUCGAACGGAAAGGCCCGGCUUUUGGGGGGUGCUCGAGUGGCGAACGGGUGAGUAACACGUGAGUAACCUGCCCUUGACUGUGGGAUAACUUCAGGAAACUGGGGCUAAUACCGGAUAGGAGCUCCUGCUGCAGGGUGGGGGUGGGAAAGUUUCGGCGGUUGGGGAUGGACUCGCGGCUUAUCAGCUUGUUGGUGGGGUAGUGGCUUACCAAGGCUUUGACGGGUAGCCGGCCUGAGAGGGUGGCCGGCCACAUUGGGACUGAGAUACGGCCCAGCCUCGUACGGGAGGCAGCAGUGGGGAAUAUUGCACAAUGGGCGGAAGCCUGAUGCAGCACCGCCGCGUGCGGGAUGACGGCCUUCGGGUUGUAAACCGCUUUCGCCUGUGACGAAGCGUGAGUGACGGUAAUGGGUAAAGAAGCACCGGCUAACUACGUG
rnacentral:rRNA from 1 species